CCCCUAUGGACCGGCCGCCACUGUUGAGAACGUUGUGGUGACCUUGAUAGUGCCCUGCUGUUGAGGAACUCUCUGGAUUCUUUCUCUCUAUCAAAACCGCAUUCUCUCUUUCCUAUCACUUGUUUCCACUCAAUCUGAUUAUAUGGCCACUCUGUCUAUCCUAUCCAAUCUACCUUGCUCUGUCUAAUUUGUGGCUAUUCUAUCUUUUGUGUCCCUCAAGCUACCAGUACUUGAUCUCUGCCACCAGGUUACAAGUACUUGGUGGUACGCUCUAUCUAUUUUUGGUAUUUCUGUCUUGCUAUCCCACUCUACAAGUGAAAAGUGCUUGAUCUAUCCCACUCUAUAAGAACCGCAAACCGAUUUUAUGGCUGACUUUUGAAAAAACGCAAAAAAACGCUUGGCACUGAUUUUUGAAACAACUCUUGACAUUUUGGCUUUCAAGUUACCAGUACUUGAUCUAUCUGUUGAAAAAGCAAAUCUAAGAGUCUCUCUGCUCUUACGCUCUCUCUCUCUGUCUCAGUCAAGUGAAAAGUGCUUGAACUCAACAUUUAAUUGUAUCAUUGUCAAAACACAUAAAUUGUUGUACUAAGUGGAUAGUUACAAAUAUAUAUAUACAAAGGUUAUACGUUUAUAAUUUCAAUCCAUAUUUAUUUUAUAAGAACUGUUGUUACUGAAUUUUGUUACCGUAAACGUAUCUAAUUCCUAAAGGCUGUUUUAAGUCAUAUUUGAUUUUUGCUGUAUUUAUUUACUUAACUAGUUAACAUAAUACGAUAUUGUAUUCAUUUUCUCUGAUAAACGUAAACACACCCCAGGUAUACAGUUCACACACUGUUUUGAUCAGAAAAUAAAGAGCUUUGUUAUUGUCUAACUUGUCAUAUACUGCAAUAAAACAACCAACUGAA